ensembl:lncRNA
GCCAGAGAGCAGUGAUUGGUCAGACCAUAGAUAAUAUAGAAGACAGCGCGCUAGCGUAUCUAGGCUUCACUAUAUAUCUAUGGUCGGCACGUCUGGUAGCAUCUGUGGCUGCUGUUGACCUUGUUUUUGGAGUAAAACACGGUGGAAGCUGAAUUAGUGAGAAUGACUCCUGCUCCUGUCAUCUCUAAGCUCCUCACACAUCUUUACCUGCACAUGAGGAAAAUCACUCCUGUAGAAUGCAGAUGUUCAGAGGGAGAUGAUGCCACAUCUGGUCCAGCUGAUGGAAGGUCUUGAAGUUCUCUGACUGGCCUCGACUGAAGAUGGUCGUCUCACUGGAUUUAAGGUUCAGAUGCUCAGUAACAAACUCCACCAAUGAACCAACAGGGAACCUUUAGGUUUAUUAAAUGUUGCUAUGAAGGUAUCGCUGUUUUUCUUUGUGAAUGCAAUGUGCUCCAACUGAAACUUGAAUUAGAACUUAGAAGUAAAUCCUUCCAUCUGAAAGGAUUUAGUUGCAUUAAUAACCUCAUAACAUUCAAAUUUUUAUUCCAGUCUUGGUUGAAAAUAGAAUCUCUGUAUUGAUUCAGGUAAAAACUGAACUUCAAAGCAUGUUGGAGCAAAACAACCAGAUGAAAACUGUGAUGGUGUUGGAUUGUCAGACCGUAAUGUUGCAGCUCAAAGCAGCUUUUCUAUCUCAGUUCAUUCUGACAUUCAGCUAUGAAUCAACACAGCAGAUGGUGAUCCAUGCUGUGGAAGUCUCACAUCUCCUGAUUUAAUGGAGCUGCUUUGCACUUUUUACACUGUUUAUUCACCAACACUUUAUUUAAUAAAAGUCCCAUCUAGUUUUUAUGAGGAAUGUGAUGUUUUAAUCUCUCUGUGAAUAACUGCAGUCUAAUGCAACAGCUGGAGUUGUAACAUCUGUCCUGAUAUUGAUCAUGAAGUAUUGAUCAGAAUACUUAUGGUCAGCAGUCAUCCCUGAAGUUUUACAUUAAAAUCUUUACUUGUGUUGUGAACUUUGGUAAGAAGCAGAAACGUUAGCGUUGCCAUGGAUACAUGAGUGUUAAAUUCUGUCCAUGUUUCCAUUUUGGGAAAUGCAGUCCAGUUCCAGAAUGUGGAGGAAUUUAGUCUCACAAUCACAGACAAUAAAUAUUAUCUGAAAGUCGGGUUAUUGUUGUUUAUCAGCACAAUACAAAAAGAUUAAUGUUAGAAAUAUUCCAGUUAAGACUCUAGAAUAUCAUGAUUUAUGUAAAUUUACCUCAAUAAUACGAAUGUUCAGGUUAAGAUUGUACAGUGAUAUUUAUUAUGUAAGUUUAGCUGAUUAAAGUUUAUGACUCUGCACUACAAUAUUAUUUAAAUUGACAUCAUUAUUAUAAUAUUUAGGGUUAGACCCUACAGUAUUGAGAUUAAGAAAUCAAAUAUUCUAUAAAAUAUAAAUACACUGAACUCAUUUGGAUAUAUUUAAGUGAGACUCUACAAUAUUAUUUGACACAAAUCUAUCUAAAUCAAAUUUUAAUAAUUUUCACACCAAACAUUUACUGGACUGAUUUAAAUAUUAAAAUCACUCCUUUCUAAUCCUCUGCUGUGCAUUCAAACCUGAGGCCUUAAGUAGAAACACACAAGUAUCUGUUUGAAGGAACGUCUGAAGAGUCCUGGUUCCAGAACAUGAUGAUAGAAUUAUAGACAAACUUCAACAAAAGCUGUCUGAGAGUUUACAGGUUUUUAUGUUGGAUUUCUUCAGUAAUUUAAUGAGCGUUAUCAGCAAUAAUCAAGUGUUCAUUUGAUGAACUUGAUUUCCUAAAACAUCCAGAAUUGGAGCUCAUGUCUUUGGCAGCUGUAAAGUUUCUGCUCCUUCAAAGUUCACAACACAAUGAAUGAAUUCCUAAAACACUCUCAAUGCUGGAGAGCGUUUGUGAUGCUGAAGCAGUGAUCAGUUUUUCUGUUUCUUCUCUGGAGAUGCACAAUGAGGGAUGUCUGCAGCAACUGAGAAAGAGUCUCACCACAUCCUGACAUGAGGAAAAAGACUUUAUUGAAGACUACAAUGAGAAAAAGUAUCAGACAGCAGACGGCUGCAUUCAAGUCUGUAGCUGCUGAAUUCAUGGAUGAAUCAUCUGGCACUAGAGAAGAAGACCAUCAAACAUCCACGUCAGCUGAUGGAGGUCCAAGAGUCUCACCAAACAACCAACCUACAGAGUGAAGACCUCGAAUCUGAUUGGACGGCCUCCUAUUCAGCCACAUGUGAACAAAUGCCUCUAAGUUGAUUUGUUUUCUAAAAUAAAUCUAGUUUGAGUCCUAAUCUAUGCCUGUGUGUUUGCUUCUUUACACUGCUGUUAACAGUUUAGGCUGUUAGAUUGUUCCAGAUAAGACAAGUACAAGAUUCUUCAGAGCCGUUCUACCACGAGCCUGACAGGAAGAACUCCAACAGCUACUGAAUGUUCCUGUGGUCCCCUCAAGGCUACAGGAGGAGCCCUACGAGGACGAGCUGGUCCACCUGAUGGUGGCCUACAUGAGAGCUUUAAUUAUUCUUCAUCUACUUCCUGAAAAGUUUG